UGUCAUAGGCUCAUCGGCAAAUAAGGUGACGGGCACAGAUGGCAGUAGCUGAUGUUUAUCUAUCUUGCGCUGCUUUAACGUUGUGUUAAUUGGUCUGACUCAUACGAGAAUAGCUCAUACCUUUAUUCAUUCAUUUGAUUUGAUUUCAUGUUUAUUUGAAUAGGGACAAAUGGUUAGACAUGGACAUUUGUGCAACACAACUCCAAUGUACAGCAUCACAGCUUUUAUAGCUAUUGCUAGUUUCCAAUGCCCGCCCCUAUAAGUCCUUU